AGCUCAGCAUGGAAAUUGGGCCCUCGGCCUUGAAUUGUAGUCUCGAGAUGCAUCGCCAAUGGAGGCGCAGAUGUAAGCCUCUUGGAAAAGAGCAUCAACGAGGGUGAGAGUCCCGUUUGUCAUCUGCAGUCCCCCAUGCACGGCGUGCCUUCUAAGAGUCGCGUUCCUCGGAAUUGGAGCGUCAAUUGGGUGGUAAAUUUCAUCUCAAGCUAAAUAUUGGUUCGAGACCGAUAGCAAACAAGUACC
rnacentral:rRNA from 1 species